ensembl:lncRNA
GUUAAAAUAUUAUGGGAUGCAUUUUCCCCAUUGUUUUUGAUGGUAGGCCACUCUGAUAGGUCUAGAUUAUGAUCAAGUAGCCAUAGUAGCCUACUUGUCCACAGUAAAACUGUAACUUAAAGCAGCUACAGCCUCAGUGUUCACAGUAAAACUGUAACAUAAAGCAGGUACAGCCUCAGUGUUCACAGUAAAGCAGGUACAGCCUCAGUGUUCACAGUAAAACUGUAACAUAAAGCAGGUACAGCCUCAGUGUUCACAGUAAAGCAGGUACAGCCUCAGUGUUCACAGUAAAACUGUAACUUAAAGCAGGUACAGCCUCAGUGUUCACAGUAAAGCAGGUACAGCCUCAGUGUUCACAGUAAAACUGUAACUUAAAGCAGGUACAGCCUCAGUGUUCACAGUAAAGCAGGUACAGCCUCAGUGUUCACAGUAAAGCAGGUACAGCCUCAGUGUUCACAGUGGAAUGGAAGUUACACAGAAUUUUCACAACGUUCAAGUUAGCGUUCAGCAGACCCGAAAUUUAAAUUGAAAUGCCGUAUUUAAGCUAGCUACUAGCUAGAUUAAUUUCUCUCACGAUUACUCAGCCAACAAAAUGUUCAUAAAAUAGCAUAUUAUUCACGUAAAAAGAUAGGUGUCUAGCUCUGUUAACCCAGUCUCAAGCUGACCCAGAGUCAGUGAUAUCACAUUUACAUAAGUAUUCAGACCCUUUACUCAGUACUUUGUUGAACGACCUUUGGCAGCGACUACAGCCUCCAGUGUUCUUGGGUAUGAUGCUACAAGCUUGGUACACCUGUAUUUGGGGAGUUUCUCCCAUUCUUCUCUGCAGAUCCUCUCAAGCUCUGUCAGGUUGGAUGGGGAGCGUCGCUGCACAGCUAUCUUCAGGUCUCUCCAGAGAUGUUCAGGAUCCUGAGUGGCGCAGUGGUCUAAGGCACUGCAUCUCAGUGCUAGAGGGGUCACUACAGACCCAGGUUUGAUCCUGGGCUGUAUCACAACCGGACGUGAUUGGGAAUCCCAUAGGGCGGCACACAAUAGGCCCAGCGCUGUCCGCGUUAGGGGACAGUUUGGCCAGGGUGUAGGCCGUCAUUGUAAAUAAUAAUGUGUUCUUAACUGACUUGCCUCGUUAAAUAAAAAUGUUUGAUCGGGUUCAAGUCUGGGCCACUCCAGGACAUUCAGAGACUUGUUCCCCCAAAGCCACUCCUGCGUUGUCCUGGCCUUGUGCAUAGGGUCGUUGUCCUGUUGGAAGGUGAACCUUCACCCCAGUCUGAGUUCAUUGGGCGCUCUAGUGAAUGUUUUAAUCAAGGAUCUCUCUGAACUUUGCUCCAUUCAUCUUUCCCUCGAUCCUGACUAGUCUCCUAGUCCCUGCUGCUGAUGAAAAAUCCUCACGUCAUGAUGCUGCCACCACCAUGCUUCACCGUAGGGAUGGUGCCAGGUUUCCUCCAGACGUGACACUUAGCAUUCAGGCCAAAGAUUUCAAUCUUGGUUUCAUCAGACCAGAGAAUAUUGUUUAUUAUGGUCUGAGAGUCUUUAGGUGCCUUUUGGCAAAGUCCAAGCAGACUGUCAUGUGCCUUUUACUGAGGAGUGGCUUCCGUCUUGCCACUCUACCAUAAAGGCCUGAUUGGUGGAGUGUUGCAGAGAUGGUUGUCCUUCUGGAAGGUUCUCCUAUCUCCACAGAGGAACUCUGGAGCUCUGUCAGAGAGACUAUCAGGUUCCUGCUCACCUCCCUGACCAAGGCCCUUCUCCCCCGAUUGCUCAGUUUGGCUGGGUGGCCAGCUCUAGGAAGAGUCUUGCUGGUUCCAAACUUCUUCCAUUUAAGAUUGAUGGAGGCAACUGUGUUCUUGGGGACCUUCAAUGCUGCAGAAAUGUUUUGGUACCCUUCCCCAGAUCUGUGCCUCGACACAAUCCUGUCUCGGACAAUUCCUUUGACCUCAUGGCUUGGUUUUUGCUCUGACAUGCACUGUCGACUGUGGGACCUUAUAUAGACAGAUGUGUGCCUUUCCAAAUUAUGCUCAAUCAAUUGAAUUUACCACAGGUGGACUCCAAUCAAGUUCUAGAAACAUCUCAAGGAUGAUCAAUGGAAACAGGAUGCACCUGAGCUCAAUUUAGAGUCUCAUAGCAAAGGGUCUGAAUACUUAUGUAAAUGAGGUAUUUCUGGUAUUUAUUUUUAAUACAUUUGCAAAAAUGUCUAACCUGUUUUUGUUUUGUCAUGAUGGGGUAUUGUGAUGUCAUUAUGGGGUAUUGUGAUGUCAUUAUGGGGUAUUGUGAUGUCAUUAUGGGGUAUUGUGAUGUCAUUAUAGG